AACGAACGCUGGCGGCGUGCCUAACACAUGCAAGUCGAACGAGAAAGUCCUUCGGGAUGAGUAGAGUGGCGCACGGGUGAGUAACACAUGGGAAUCGUGCCUAAUAGUGGUGGAUAACUGCGGGAAACUGCAGCUAAUACAGCAUAAUGUCUAAGGACGAAAGGGGGCCCCUUAAAAGGCUCUUGCUAAUAGAUCGGCCCAUGUCCCAUUAGCUAGUUGGCGGGGUAAAAGCCCACCAAGGCGACGAUGGGUAGCUGGUCUGAGAGGAUGAUCAGCCACACUGGAACUGAGACGCGGUCCAGACUCCUACGGGAGGCAGCAGUGGGGAAUUUUGCACAAUGGGGGAAACCCUGAUGCAGCAACGCCGCGUGAGUGAAGAAGGCCCUUGGGUUGUAAAGCUCUUUCGGCCGGGAAAAAGGAUCUACGUACUAAUACUCCGUAGGUUUGAUGGUACCGGAAGAAGAAGCACCUGCUAACUACGUGCCAGCAGCCGCCGCGG
rnacentral:rRNA from 1 species